UAAGGACCACAUUGGAGAGCGCUCCCC
rnacentral:piRNA from 1 species